rnacentral:misc_RNA from 1 species
ACAUCAAGGGCAAGAAAUCGCACCAGAUCGUGUCCGACGCGAUCAGCAUCCUCUGCAAUCUCGAACAUCGCGGCGCGGUCGGCGCCGAUCCGCGCGCCGGCGACGGCGCGGGCAUCCUUGUGCAGAUUCCGCACGCUUUCUUCGCACGCAAGGCGAAGGAAGCGGGCUUCACCCUGCCCGGCCCCGGCCAAUACGCCGUCGGCCAGUUGUUCAUGCCGCGCGAAAAGCCCUGGCGCGAAGUCAUCAAGGGCAUCGUCAAGGACAAGAU